rnacentral:tRNA from 1 species
GCCCAGGUGGUGAAACUGGUAGACACGCUAUCUUGAGGGGGUAGUGACCGUACGGUCGUGCAGGUUCAAAUCCUGUUCUGGGCACCA